UGAGCAAUCUGCCCUUCUCAUCGGAAUAAGCGUUGGAAACGACGUCUAAUGCCGAAUACGACCUCCUUUCGCAUGAUCGGAGGUGGAAAGCUUUAUUGUGGUUUUGGAUGGACUCGCGGCCUAUCAGCUUGUUGGUGAGGUAAUGGCUCACCAAGGCGACGACGGGUAGCCGGCCUGAGAGGGUGACCGGCCACACUGGGACUGAGACACGGCCCAGACUCCUACGGGAGCAG
rnacentral:rRNA from 1 species